UACAGAGGGGGCUAGCGUUGUUCGGAUUUACUGGGCGUAAAGGGCGCGUAGGCGGCCAGCACAAGUCAGUUGUGAAAUCUCCGAGCUUAACUCGGAACGGUCAACUGAUACUGUGCGGCUAGAGUGCAGAAGGGGCAACUGGAAUUCUUGGUGUAGCGGUGAAAUGCGUAGAUAUCAAGAGGAACACCUGCGGCGAAGGCGGGUUGCUGGGCCGACACUGACGCUGAGGCGCGAAAGCUAGGGGAGCGAACGGG
rnacentral:rRNA from 1 species